rnacentral:rRNA from 1 species
CAAGUCGAACGCUUCUUUUUCCACCGGAGCUUGCUCCACCGGAAAAAGAGGAGUGGCGAACGGGUGAGUAACACGUGGGUAACCUGCCCAUCAGAAAGGGAUAACACUUGGAAACAGGUGCUAAUACCGUAUAACAAAUCAAAACCGCAUGGUUUUGAUUUGAAAGGCGCUUUCGGGUGUCGCUGAUGGAUGGACCCGCGGUGCAUUAGCUAGUUGGUGAGGUAACGGCUCACCAAGGCCACGAUGCAUAGCCGCACCUGAGAGGGUGAUCGGCCACAUUGGGACUGAGACACGGCCCAAACUCUACGGGAGGCAGCAGUAGGGAAUCUUCGGCAAUGGACGAAAGUCUGACCGAGCAACGCCGCGUGAGUGAAGAAGGUUUUCGGAUCGUAAAACUCUGUUGUUAGAGAAGAACAAGGAUGAGAGUAACUGUUCAUCCCUUGACGGUAUCUAACCAGAAAGCCACGGCUAACUACGUGCCAGCAGCCGCGGUAAUACGUAGGUGGCAAGCGUUGUCCGGAUUUAUUGGGCGUAAAGCGAGCGCAGGCGGUUCUUAAGUCUGAUGUGAAAGCCCCCGGCUCAACCGGGGAGGGUCAUUGGAAACUGGGAGACUUGAGUGCAGAAGAGGAGAGUGGAAUUCCAUGUGUAGCGGUGAAAUGCGUAGAUAUAUGGAGGAACACCAGUGGCGAAGGCGGCUCUCUGGUCUGUAACUGACGCUGAGGCUCGAAAGCGUGGGGAGCAAACAGGAUUAGAUACCCUGGUAGUCCACGCCGUAAACGAUGAGUGCUAAGUGUUGGAGGGUUUCCGCCCUUCAGUGCUGCAGCUAACGCAUUAAGCACUCCGCCUGGGGAGUACGACCGCAAGGUUGAAACUCAAAGGAAUUGACGGGGGCCCGCACAAGCGGUGGAGCAUGUGGUUUAAUUCGAAGCAACACGAAGAACCUUACCAGGUCUUGACAUCCUUUGACCACUCUAGAGAUAGAGCUUCCCCUUCGGGGGCAAAGUGAUU